AGCUACUGAGUGAGGCUGCAGGGGAAGGCUGGCAGUGGAGAUGGGCAUGAAAAACAAACUGGGCGCACAGGUGUGAGCUGGGCAAGGCGCACAGCUGGGGGCACUCAGCCCAUAAUGAGCUGCUGCAAAGCUUGGUAGGGCUUUUGGGAUGGAGAGGGAGGUGUGCUUGGUGGGAGUGCUCAGUUUGCUUCAGCUUAUUGCUGCUUCUAGGAGGGCUUCUCCUUUCUGUCUCUGGGCAGGCUCUGCUCUGAUGCAGCAGUGGAUGGGGCAGCCAGGAUGGUGUGGGGCAGGAUCCAGUGCUACAACACAAGGUCUCUCCUGGCGGUGCUGCCUGCUCUGAGCUGCUCCCCCCUCCUGCCAGCCCUUCACCUGCUGAAGCUCCGCCGCCUGGGCUUUUGCUGGGAGUUACUAAUGCUUAAAAACAAAAGCAGCUUCCUUUGCCCACAGCCCUGCUGCCAGCUACAGUGCAUUUCCAAGAGCAUCGCUGCAUUCGUUAGAUGCAAAGCUUCCAUCUGCAAGAAAUCAAUUGCAACCUGAAUCUUAAAGACAAAAAUCAAUUGUGGCUCUGCUUUCCAGUGCUGCCUCACGUGCAUGGAGCUGCUGGGGCAGGCUCCGGUUCCAAAGGGUCCGUCACAGCCUUUCAUGUUAGGAAUCCGUGAAGAAUGAAAAUCAGAUAUGAAUGUGAAAAAGUAGAGGAUUGUCUUUGGGGUUCUGUUGCUUAAGAAGUCGGUUCUUGCUGGUGUAGGAAUGUGCCCCAGUUAUAGUGGAAAAUGCAUCUUCAGUGCGGGUUUCCAUGGAGAGCUGUUUGGAGUCAAGGCUUGUCCUGUGUCAGCCCAUUUCUGCUGUGCCUCCGUGAGCUCAGGCACAUGCCAGAGAGAGAUUCUUUGACUUUCUUGAGAGCUUGGCAAUGCUACUUAAAAACUGUUCAGUGUUUGUGCAGGGGAAAAGAAAAAAAGGGGAAUUAAAACGUUAUUAAAUAUGGAAAUUGUUUGGUGUCACCUCGUUGACCCCCACCCACUCAGGGACAAGUACUUCCCCCCCCUCUGUGCUACCCCAGGGCAGUGGGGAGAGCCCAGCCCAGGGCUGGGGAACAGGAGCAGAGCUCUGGAUAGAGCCAUAUGUUGUCAAGUUAAUAAAAGGCCUUGGAAAGCAUAAAUCCUCUGUAUG
rnacentral:lncRNA from 1 species